UACGUAGGGUCCGAGCGUUGUCCGGAAUUACUGGGCGUAAAGAGCUCGUAGGCGGGACCGUAAGUCCGAGAGGAAAUCUCAAGGCUCAACUUUGGGGCUUUCUUGGAUACUGCGGUUCUUGAGGAUGAGAGAGGUAAGUAGAAUUCCCGGUGUAGCGGUGAAAUGCGUAGAUAUCGGGAGGAAUACCAGUGGCGAAGGCGGCUUACUGGCUCAUUCCUGACGCUGAGGAGCGAAAGCGUGGGGAGCAAACGGG
rnacentral:rRNA from 1 species